UACGUAGGCGGAUUAAUAAGUCAGUGGUGAAAACCUGCAGCUUAACUGUAGAACUGCCAUUGAUACUGUUAGUCUUGAGUACGGUCAAGGUAGGCGGAAUGUGUAAUGUAGCGGUGAAAUGCUUAGAUAUUACACAGAACACCGAUUGCGAAGGCAGCUUACUGGACCAUUACUGACGCUAAGGCACGAAAGCGUGGGGAGCGAACAGGAUUAGAUACCCUGGUAGUCC
rnacentral:rRNA from 1 species